rnacentral:snoRNA from 1 species
GGUGCAUAUGAUGCCUCUUAGUGACCAAAGCCUGACCUUUGGUGAUGAGUUCUAACUGACUGACUACCCU